rnacentral:piRNA from 1 species
UUCCUAGAGUUGCCCAUGUGUCUGCCU